GAUGAACGCUGGCGGCGUGCCUAAUACAUGCAAGUCGAGCGAACAGAUGAGGAGCUUGCUCCUCUGACGUUAGCGGCGGACGGGUGAGUAACACGUGGAUAACCUACCUAUAAGACUGGGAUAACUUCGGGAAACCGGAGCUAAUACCGGAUAAUAUAUUGAACCGCAUGGUUCAAUAGUGAAAGACGGUUUUGCUGUCACUUAUAGAUGGAUCCGCGGCGCAUUAGCUAGUUGGUAAGGUAACGGCUUACCAAGGCAACGAUGCGUAGCCGACCUGAGAGGGUGAUCGGCCACACUGGAACUGAGACACGGUCCAGACUCCUACGGGAGGCAGCAGUAGGGAAUCUUCCGCAAUGGGCGAAAGCCUGACGGAGCAACGCCGCGUGAGUGAUGAAGGUCUUCGGAUCGUAAAACUCUGUUAUUAGGGAAGAACAAAUGUGUAAGUAACUAUGCACGUCUUGACGGUACCUAAUCAGAAAGCCACGGCUAACUACGUG
rnacentral:rRNA from 1 species